rnacentral:piRNA from 1 species
CAAUGUGCUGGCAAAGACUCUUACCGGAGGA